UGGGGAAUUUGGACAAUGGGCGAAAGCCUGAUCCAGCAAUGCCGCGUGUGUGAAGAAGGCCUUCGGGUUGUAAAGCACUUUUGUCCGGAAAGAAAUCCUUGGCUCUAAUACAGUCGGGGGAUGACGGUACCGGAAGAAUAAGCACCGGCUAACUACGUGCCAGCAGCCGCGUAAUACGUAGGGUGCAAGCGUUAAUCGGAAUUACUGGGCGUAAAGCGUGCGCAGGCGGUUUGCUAAGACCGAUGUGAAAUCCCCGGGCUCAACCUGGGAACUGCAUUGGUGACUGGCAGGCUAAGUAUGGCAGAGGGGGGUAGAAUUCCACGUGUAGCAGUGAAAUGCGUAGAGAUGUGGAGGAAUACCGAUGGCGAAGGCAGCCCCCUGGGCCAAUACUGACGCUCAUGCACGAAAGCGUGGGGGAGCAAAACAGGAUUAGAUACCCUGGUAGUCCACGCCCUAAACGAUGUCAACUAGUUGUUGGGGAUUCAUUUCCUUAGUAACGUAGCUAACGCGUGAAGUUGACCGCCUGGGGAGUACGGUCGCAAGAUUAAAACUCAAAUGAAUU
rnacentral:rRNA from 1 species